rnacentral:sRNA from 1 species
AGGAUGACGAUGAGCAGCAGCCACCGGCGUGAGUGCACAGCGUUCGCCACUCACGGCCGUGGGCCC